rnacentral:rRNA from 1 species
CUAUUAAUAACCCUAAAAACACCAACCACUAAACAACAAACCAUUUUUCCCCCCAAGUAUGGGCGACAGAAAAGGACAACACAUGAGCCAUAAAAAAGUACCGCAAGGGAACGCUGAAAAAGAAAUGAAAUAAGCCAGUAAAGUUAGAAAAAGCAGAGACUUGCACUCGUACCUUUUGCAUCAUGACUUAGCUAGUAAAAAUCAAGCAAGGGGCACUUUAGUUUGACUUCCCGAAACUAAGUGAGCUACUCCAAGACAGCCUAAAAGCAGGGCUAACCCGUCUCUGUGGCAAAAGAGUGGGGUGAUCUUAGAGUAGAGGUGACAAACCUAUCGAACUUAGUCAUAGCUGGUUGCCUAAGAAAUGAAUAGGAGUUCAGCUUUUUGGUUUUUCUUCUCAAAUUUAUUUAUUUAUAACUGACUCAGAAGACACCAAAAAAGUUAAUUAAAGGGGGUACAGCCCCUUUAAAACAAGAUACAACUUCAUCAGUCGGGCAAGGAUCAUAAUUAUUAAGGCAAGAAUGUUUUAGUGGGCCUGAAAGCAGCCACCUAUAAGAAAGCGUUAAAGCUCAUUCAUACCCCCGCCACCAAUUCAGAUAACAAGUCCAAACCCCCUAAUCUUAUUAGGCCGCCCCAUGUUUACAUGGGGGUGAUUCUGCUAAUAUGAGUAAUAAGAAAAAUUCAGUUUUUCUCCUUGCACACGUGUAAAUCGAAACGGACCCCCCACCGAAUCUUAUCGGCCCCAAAAAGAGGGUAAUGAAUCACCAACUUUGAUAACAAGAAAAGCACCCAAGUAUUAACCGUUAGCCCCACACUGGUGUGCCUACAAGGAAAGACUAAAAGAAAAAGAAGGAACUCGGCAAAUACAAGCCUCGCCUGUUUACCAAAAACACCGCCUCUUGUAUACAGAAAAUAAGAGGUCA